GACGAACGCUGGCGGCGUGCUUAACACAUGCAAGUCGAACGAAGUGGCGAACGGGUGAGUAACGAGUAAUCAACCUGCACUUCAGAGGGGGACAACAGUUGGAAACGACUGCUAAUACCGCCUACUGAAGGGGGUGGUUGCGUCGGAUUAGCUAGUUGGUGGGGUAAGGGCCAACCAAGGCGAGUAUCAGUAGCCGGUCUGAGAGGAUGAACGGCCACAUUGGGACUGAGACACGGCCCAGACUCCUACGGGAGGCAGCAGUGGGGAAGCUUCCGCAAUGGACGAAAGUCUGACGGAGCAACGCCGCGUGAGUGAUGACGGCCUUCGGGUUGUAAAGCUCUGUUAAUCGGGACGCGGUACCGGAAUAGAAAGCCACGGCUAACUACGUGCCAGCAGCCGCGGUAAUAC
rnacentral:rRNA from 1 species